CCUAGGCCCAUGUUUCUCAACUAUGAGUGCCUGGAGAUGAGCCGGGCAAUACAAGAAGCCGCAGGAUAAACAUGGUGACGUAGGACAUCAGCGUUUCCUUAGGAUCUGGGAAUAGGGAAGAGGAAAAGGAAGAACUAUUAUAUAUAUCAAAUGCCUUUUAUAUCUGCUAAUUAAUAUUUAAUCUGUUUUAAGUUGAGAUUGAAUUAACAAACCAUAAAAUUCAUUCCUUAAAUUGUACAAUUCACUGGUUUUUAAGUAUAUUCACGAAAUCAUGCAACCUAUCACUAUCUAAUUGCAGAACACUUUCAUCACCCCUAAAUGAAAAACCAUGCACAUUAGUAGCCAUUCCCCAUUCUCCACUUUCCUGGCACCUGGCAAUUAUUAAUCUACUUUUCACUGCAUGGAUUUGCCUAUUCUAGACAUUUCAUAUAAAUGGAAUCCUACAGUAGGUGGCCUUUUGUGCCCAGCUUCUUUCACCUAGUAUAAUGUCUUCAGGGUUCAUCUGGGUAUCAGUACUUCAUUCUUUUUUUGUGACUGGAUAAUACCAUUGAAUGGAUAUGCUAACAUGUUUAUUCAUUCAUCACUUGAUGGACAUUCGGGUUGUCUCCACUCUGGGACCAUUAUUAAUAAUACUGCUGCAAACAUUUGUGUAUAAGUUUCCUAUGGACAUAUGUUUUUACUUCUCUUGGGUAUAUACCUAGAAGUGAAAUUGCUGAGUCAUAUGGUAACUGUAUGUUGGACUUUCUGAGGAACUGUCAAGUUAUUUUCCAACUCAAUUACAUUUGCACUAGCAAUGUAUGAGAAUUCCAAUUUCUCCACAUUCUCACCAAUAUUUGUUAUUACCUGUAUUUUCAAUUACAGUGAUCUUAGUGGGUGUAAAAUGGUAUCUCAUUGUUUUAAUUUGAAUUUAUUUAAUUGCUAAGGAUAUUGAGCAUCUUUUCUCGUGCUCGUUAACUAUUUAUCUUUUUUGGAGAAAUGUCUAUUUAAAUCCUUUGUCCAGGUUUUAAUUGGGCUACUUUUUAUUGUUGACUAGUAAGGAUUCUUUAUAUAUCCUAGAUACUAGAUCUUUGUCAGAUAUAUAAUUAGCAAAUAUCUUAUUCUAUUAUACAGUUUUCAUUUUCACUUUCUCAAUAAUGUUCUUUGAAGCAUAUAAGUUUUAUAAUUUUGAUGAAGUUUUAUUAUUCUCAGGUAUGCCUUUAUCAGCAGCAUGAAAAUGGACUAAUACAACUUGUUACCAUUUGGCUUUUUUCUUGAUAAUAACCUUCCUAACAGGUGAUAUGUCAUUGUGAUUUUGAUCUGCAUUUUCCUGAUGAUUAGUGACAUUGAGCACCCUUUCAUAUACCCAUUGGCUAUUUGUAUGUCUUCUCUGGAAAAAUGUCUAUUUUUAUAGACAGCAGGCACUACAUUUACCAUCAGAACUCUUCAUUUUGUAUUUUUCCUUAAAAUUUUUAUUUUUUAUUAAAAUUGCAUGUAUUUAAGGUGUGUGACAUGAUGUUUUGAUAUACAUAUACACAGUAAAUCAAAUACUACAGGGAAGCUACUUAAUGUAUUCCUGUCCUCACACAAUUACCAUUUUUUGUGGUAAGAGCACUUACAAUCUGCUCUCUUAGCAAAUGUCAAGAAAGGAUAUUAAGAUUUAUGCCUGUGUUUUCUUCUAGGAGUUUUAUAGUUUUAUCUCUUGUGUUUAGGUCGUUGAUCCAUUUGGAGUUAAUUUUUGUAUAUACUAUAGAGUAGGGGUCCACAUUAAUUUUUAAAGAUAGAUAUCCAGUUUUCCUACCACAACUUGUUUAAAAAGAUUUGUUAAAGAAGGGUACCACGAUAAUUUAAUGAGACACUCUUAUCCAGCAGAGAGAAGUGAGUACCAAAAAAGAUAUUAAAAAAUAACCCCUUAAAAUGUGAAAAUUCAAUUUUCACAACCCAUAGAUUCCUAAAAAAGGCAACUUAAAAAUCCCUACCAAGCAGAAAAUGAAUGAAAACGAAAUGACAGAAGAAUCUGAACGAUAUUUACUUGGGGUUUAUCAAAGAGCCAAAGGGGGAAAAAAUUGAAAAGAACAAGAAAUAGGGACAUCCAAGGAGCCAAAAUUACAUAUGUCAGAGAAAAAAAUAUUAAAUUGAAACAAUUAAAUAUCUUGGAUUUGACAAAUAUGGUCAAUAUAAUUAAAAUUACAAAGAAAUCAUUAGACUAAUGAAAGUGAGAAUGUAUAAAUAUGAUGCUAAUUCAUUCAUAAGAAAUUAAUAAGUUAGAGACAGUAAGAUAUAAAAAACAUGAGAACACUUGUGAAACUUGGAGGAUAAACGAAUAGACUUAACAGGAUUUUAGCUGAUAAAUGUUGACAAAUGGCCAAGAAGAGAAAGACGCUAGAAAAGUAACACUCAAAGUGAUAAUGACACAGAGUUUACUAGAAAUGAAGAAAGAAAUGUCUCUAGAUGGGAAAUUAGCUGUAAGUGUCGAUAAUAAUAAAAUUAAGUCAGCAACCAAAGCAAAACUACAGAGCAUCAUGAAAAAGGGAAAACUUUAGGAUGCUCCCUGAAGUAAUAGACAGUAUCUACAGAGGGAAGUCAAUAGUAUCUAAUCAAACUUCUCAUUAGCAACAACAGUAAAAUCUUCAGACUACUAUGGUAAUAUGUAAUUCUAUAACUGACUGAAUUAUUAAAGAUGGAGGGAAAUGAUGAUUGUUUUAGAAAUCUAAAGACAGUAAUGGUAUAUCUGUAUUUU